GUGGCAUAAAUGGAUAAUGCACUUGGCUACUAACCAGAAGGUUGGUGGUUCGAGUCCACCC
rnacentral:tRNA from 1 species